GUCCCCUCUGUGUCCAUGGAUGUGGCUUUUCCCUCACUGCCCCCACAGUCUAUGGGGAGCUAAAGGAGAAGAAAAGGAUUGAACAGGGAUACCAGUCACCCUGGAGUGCCAGGACAACAGGGAAUGGCUUCCCACUGACACAGGGCAGGGAUAGAUGGCAUCUUGGGAAGAAAUUCUUCCCUAGGAGGGUGCUGAGGCCCUGGCACAGGGUGCCCAGAGAAGCUGUGGCUGCCCUUGGAUCCCUGGCAGUGUCCAAGGCCAGGCUGGAUGGGGCUUGGAGCAACUGGGGCUAGUGGAAGGUGUCCCUGCUCAUGGAACUCAAUGGGCCUUAAGGUCCCUUCCCACACAAACCAUUCCAGGAUUCUACACAAGAGGACCGGUGCUCAGCUUUGAGCUGGGCAACUAAAUGAUCAAACUAAGUCCAAGCCUCUAAUAUUUUAGGGAAUGGCAACCUCUAGACAGUAAUAAACACUUAGAAAGUCAAGGGAGGUGCCCAAAUUAGCAAAUA